AUACUUACCUAGACGGGGUCAAUGGGCGAUCCAUAAGACCCAUGGCCUAGUUUGGCUAACCUCCAUUGCACUUUGGUGGGGCGCCCGACUAAGGUCAGCCCAAGUGGUCGACCCUGCGUCAUAAUUUAUGUUAGUGGGGGCUUGCGUUCGCGCGGCCCCUAU